rnacentral:rRNA from 1 species
AACGAACGCUGGCGGUGCGUCUUAAGCAUGCAAGUCGAACGGUAACGGGCCUUCGGGUGCCGACGUGUGGCGAACGGGUGAGUAACACGUAGGUGAUCUGCCUUUGGGUUGGGGAUAGCCUGUGGAAACACAGGGUAAUACCGAAUGAUGUCGUAGUACUGUGGUGCAACGAUUAAAGGGGCUAUGGCCCCGCCUGAAGAUGAGCCUGCGGCUGAUUAGCUAGUUGGUGAGGUAAAGGCUCACCAAGGCGACGAUCAGUAACCGGCCUGAGAGGGUGGCCGGUCACACUGGGACUGAGAUACGGCCCAGACUCCUACGGGAGGCAGCAGCUAAGAAUCUUCCGCAAUGGACGAAAGUCUGACGGAGCGACACCGCGUGAGUGACGAAGGCGGAAACGUUGUAAAGCUCUUUUAUGGAUGAGGAAUAAGCUUGGAAGGGAAUGUUCGAGUGAUGACGAUAGUCCAUGAAUAAGCCCCGGCUAAUUACGUGCCAGCCGCCGCAGUAA